GGGUUCAUAGCUCAGUGGUAGAGCAUUUGACUGUAGAUCAAGAUGUCACCGGUUCAAACUCGGUUGAGCUCU